rnacentral:lncRNA from 1 species
GGCCUGCUUGUAAGUGCGUAUCGUUUAGGUAUCUUGUAUCUUUGAAGAGUUCUCAUAUUCUUGUCUGUCUUCAGAUGAUAAUCUUGCGAUAUCUUCAGGCUUCAUUGGAAUAUACUUUGGCAUUUCCUUAGAGUAAACAAACUUCAUACCGCUCUUUUUCUUUCGGUUUCACCAUAGCCAGAUUACUUUCUUCUGCAGUUGUGAAAGAAAGUUGCGCUUGAGCCUUGGUCGUUCAUUUCUUUGCCCUGAUGAAAUUUAUAUUUGGACAAUAUAGAUGAUGGACAAAUUUCGGCGAUGACAACUUUCUUUUGGCAUGUAAAAAGAUCAGCAGUCGUGCAAUACGUUUGUAUUUGCAAUAUUGUCGUCCUUUUCAGUUCAAAUUUCCG